GCCAUGUCACAUGAUGGACAUGAUAUAAUGAAAUAGCAGGAAAACAGAGACGGAGUGUACCCUGAGCUGAUUCAAAAAAAAUCUACGCACUCAUCUGCAAUAGCACCCGCGCAAUUGCCUCGGAGCAAAUGGGGGACCAAGUCGGGGACAGGGGCGGUCCAGAAUACGUCCCCAUCAGACGGGACAUGUCUGUCGAUUCGCGAUUGUACCUGCAGCUAUUAAGCACUUUUUGAAGGGGAAGAUCCCUUGAAAGUGCGUGUUUAUUCCAUCCAUCUACCUGGGAGUGAAAUCGGUGAUCAUCUCACGACAAUGACCCAGAACACCUCCAGGCUGUGUAAGUGCUAUUUGACCAAGAAGGAGAGUGAUCGAUUGCUGCAUCAGAUGACCUGGAAAAGCAGUCAACAAGUGCUCAGCAUAUGUGGGAACUCUUUCAAGACGGUUGGAAAAUCAUUACAGGUGAAGCUGGUUAAGAGAAUGUCAAGAAUGUGCAAAGGUGUCAUCAAGGCAAAGGGUGUCUACAUUGAAGAAUCUAAAUUCUAAAUGUAUAUUUUGAUUUGUUUCGCCGUUUUUUGGUUACUACAUGAUUCCUUGUGUUAUUUCAUUGUUUUGAUGUCUUCACUAUUAUUCUACAAUGUAGAAAAUAGUAAAAAUAAAGAAAAACCCUUGAAUGAG